UACGUAGGGGGCAAGCGUUGUCCGGAUUUAUUGGGCGUAAAGAGCGCGCAGGCGGUCGUUCAAGUCGCGUGUGAAAGCCCCGGGCUCAACCUGGGAAUGGCGAUGGAUACUGGCUCGCUAGAGUGCGGUAGAGGAGAGUGGAAUUCCCGGUGUAGCAGUGAAAUGCGUAGAGAUCGGGAGGAACAUCAGUUGCGAAGGCGGCUCUCGUGGACCAGCACUGACACUGGAGGCACGGAAAGCGUGGGGAGCAAACAGG
rnacentral:rRNA from 1 species